GACGAACGCUGGCGGCGUGCCUAAUACAUGCAAGUCGAACGCAGUGGGGACGGGUGAGUAACACGUGGGUAACCUCCCAUCAGAGGGGAUAACACUUGGAAACAGGUGCUAAACCGAUACUGAUGGAUGGACCCGCGGUGCAUUAGCUAGUUGGUGAGGUAACGGCUCACCAAGGCAAAGAUGCAUAGCCGACCUGGAAGGGUGAUCGGCAAGACUGAGACUGAGAUACGGCCCAGACUCCUACGGGAGGCAGCAGGAGGGAAUCUUCGGCAAUGGACGAAAGUCUGUCCGAGCAACGCCGCGUGAGUGAAGAAGGUUUUCGGGUCGUAAAACUCUGUUGUGAGAGAAGCGGUAUCUAACCAGAAAGCCACGGCUGACUACGUGCCAGCAGCCGCGGUAAUUC
rnacentral:rRNA from 1 species